rnacentral:rRNA from 1 species
AUUGAACGCUGGCGGCAGGCUUAACACAUGCAAGUCGAGCGGGGGAAGGUAGCUUGCUACCUAACCUAGCGGCGGACGGGUGAGUAAUGCUUAGGAAUCUGCCUAUUAGUGGGGGACAACAUUUCGAAAGGGAUGCUAAUACCGCCUACGCCCUAAGGGGGAAAGCAGGGGAUCUUCGGACCUUGCGCUAAUAGAUGAGCCUAAGUCGGAUUAGCUAGUUGGUGGGGUAAAGGCCUACCAAGGCGACGAUCUGGAGCGGGUCUGAGAGGAUGAUCCGCCACACUGGGACUGAGACACGGCCCAGACUCCUACGGGAGGCAGCAGUGGGGAGUAUUGGACAAUGGGGGGGACCCUGAUCCAGCCAUGCCGCGUGUGUGAAGAAGGCCUUUUGGUUGUAAAGCACUUUAAGCGAGGAGGAGGCUACCGAGAUUAAUACUCUUGGAUAGUGGACGUUACUCGCAGAAUAAGCACCGGCUAACUCUGUGCCAGCCGCCGCGGUAAGAC